rnacentral:rRNA from 1 species
CUUAACACAUGCAAGUCGAGGGGCAGCAUUUUAGUUUGCUUGCAAACUAAAGAUGGCGACCGGCGCACGGGUGAGUAACACGUAUCCAACCUGCCGAUAACUCGGGGAUAGCCUUUCGAAAGAAAGAUUAAUAUCCGAUAGUAUAUUAAAACCGUAUGGUUUUACUAUUAAAGAAUUUCGGUUAUCGAUGGGGAUGCGUUCCAUUAGUUUGUUGGCGGGGUAACGGCCCACCAAGACUACGAUGGAUAGGGGUUCUGAGAGGAAGGUCCCCCACAUUGGAACUGAGACACGGUCCAAACUCCUACGGGAGGCAGCAGUGAGGAAUAUUGGUCAAUGGACGAGAGUCUGAACCAGCCAAGUAGCGUGAAGGAUGACUGCCCUAUGGGUUGUAAACUUCUUUUAUAUGGGAAUAAAGUAUUCCACGUGUGGGAUUUUGUAUGUACCAUAUGAAUAAGGAUCGGCUAACUCCGUGCCAGCAGCCGCGGUAAUACGGAGGAUCCGAGCGUUAUCCGGAUUUAUUGGGUUUAAAGGGAGCGUAGGUGGAUUGUUAAGUCAGUUGUGAAAGUUUGCGGCUCAACCGUAAAAUUGCAGUUGAAACUGGCAGUCUUGAGUACAGUAGAGGUGGGCGGAAUUCGUGGUGUAGCGGUGAAAUGCUUAGAUAUCACGAAGAACUCCGAUUGCGAAGGCAGCUCACUAGACUGCAACUGACACUGAUGCUCGAAAGUGUGGGUAUCAAACAGGAUUAGAUACCCUGGUAGUCCACACAGUAAACGAUGAAUACUCGCUGUUUGCGAUAUACAGUAAGCGGCCAAGCGAAAGCAUUAAGUAUUCCACCUGGGGAGUACGCCGGCAACGGUGAAACUCAAAGGAAUUGACGGGGGCCCGCACAAGCGGAGGAACAUGUGGUUUAAUUCGAUGAUACGCGAGGAACCUUACCCGGGCUUAAAUUGCAUUUGAAUAAUCUGGAAACAGGUUAGCCGCAAGGCAAAUGUGAAGGUGCUGCAUGGUUGUCGUCAGCUCGUGCCGUGAGGUGUCGGCUUAAGUGCCAUAACGAGCGCAACCCUUAUCUUUAGUUACUAACAGGUCAUGCUGAGGACUCUAGAGAGACUGCCGUCGUAAGAUGUGAGGAAGGUGGGGAUGACGUCAAAUCAGCACGGCCCUUACGUCCGGGGCUACACACGUGUUACAAUGGGGGGUACAGAAGGCAGCUACCUGGCGACAGGAUGCUAAUCCCAAAAACCUCUCUCAGUUCGGAUCGAAGUCUGCAACCCGACUUCGUGAAGCUGGAUUCGCUAGUAAUCGCGCAUCAGCCAUGGCGCGGUGAAUACGUUCCCGGGCCUUGUACACACCGCCCGUCAAGCCAUGAAAGCCGGGGGUACCUGAAGUACGUAACCGCAAGGAGCGUCCUAGGGUAAAACUGGUAAUUGGG